UGGGGAAUAUUGGACAAUGGGCGCAAGCCUGAUCCAGCAAUGCCGCGUGUGUGAAGAAGGCCUUCGGGUUGUAAAGCACUUUUAUCAGGAGCGAAACGCUGUCGGCUAAUACCCGGCGGAACUGACGGUACCUGAGGAAUAAGCACCGGCUAACUUCGUGCCAGCAGCCGCGGUAAUACGAAGGGUGCAAGCGUUAAUCGGAAUUACUGGGCGUAAAGCGUGCGUAGGCGGUUUCUUAAGUCUGCUGUGAAAUCCCCGGGCUCAACCUGGGAAUGGCAGUGGAUACUGGGAGGCUAGAGUGUGUCAGAGGGUGGUGGAAUUCCCGGUGUAGCGGUGAAGUGCGUAGAGAUCGGGAGGAACAUCAGUGGCGAAGGCGGCCACCUGGGACAACACUGACGCUGAGGCACGAAAGCGUGGGGAGCAAACAGGAUUAGAUACCCUGGUAGUCCACGCCCUAAACGAUGCGAACUGGAUGUUGGUCUCAACUCGGAGAUCAGUGUCGAAGCUAACGCGUUAAGUUCGCCGCCUGGGGGAGUACGGU
rnacentral:rRNA from 1 species